UUUAAAUAAAACACGAAGUUGAAAACAGUAACUACGAAUAACCAAAACUCAUGUUGAAAACAUGUAACGACGAAUGACCAAGCUCAGUUUCCUUUCCAUUUUGAAAAUCAAAGUCUUAACAGCAAGUUAACAUCACAAUCAAACAGGCAGCGGUGUUGCUAAAUCAAACAUGAAGUUCAAAGCAUAAUCGAAACAUGGAAAUAAAGCUUGGAAAGGAAGCUAACCGGUUGCGGCGAGCUCGACCGACGAAUGUGAGGUUUUUCAGCUCUCCCCCUGUUAGUGAACAAUGGCCUCCCUUUUAUAGUCACACUGCUAGGGUCUUUUGAAUUGGCCGCUGAGACCAAAGGGGUGUUGGACUUGGAAGUGCUUUUGGUGCUGCCAGUUUGUCUACCCUGUUUUGGUGUUUAUUCUGAAAAAGUGAAGUUUCUUGCAACUUUGAGGCUUCUGUUAACCACACUCAACCUUGCAAGAGCAACCUUCUUGAGGUCAGGCCUGUAGUAGUUAUCUGCCACUGGUUUUGAACAGCCUUAGCCAUCCUCCUAAACUCCUUCUUCAUCACAGAUUUAUGAAGCAAAGCGGACGGCUUGUUCUGCUUCCUUGGCUUGGAGAAAGUUAGCAGGCUUCAAGUUAGAGUGCACAAUACGUUCCUCGUGAAUUGUAUUGACAACUUGAAGAAUUUUCGGCCAAUAAAACCGAAGCCAGUUUUCAUCUAUCAUCUCGUUUGAUUCACUCAGCUUCUUCCACUGCUGCGACAACAUGUGAGCUAACUCAAUUUCACCGUAUUCAAACUCAGAGUCGGCACAAGAAUCAAAUGUUUGCACCACACUUGCAGCCUUAUCAACUGAUAAUUUAUUCGAUUUUUCGACACAAGUGUUUACAUUCGUUGAUUCCAUAACUCUUUCAGCUUCUUAGUAGCCUUCUCAGCGGAGGGUGUAGACCACUGACACGGGAGCCAGGUGUAUACUUAAAAGCUGAUAUUACAGAGGCAAAUCUUUACACAAUCGAGAUAAAAUCUCAAAUGUUUUACCUUGCAAUGACGACGUUGAAUUAACAAUGCACAGUACUAUUGGGAUUAUGUUUUGAGGGAAUUCGGCUAAAAUUGCACAUGCUAGUUUAACAUUUGCACCAGUCUCUUCUGACCUGGAAAGAAUGGCAAGUGCUUCUAGAGCCUCUGAUGUGGAAACAGAUUCGUUGAUAGAAGAGUCUAAAGAGGAGACUAAUGCAAGAACAGUGCCAGCACGGUUCACACAAUCAUUUACAGCACAAUCAACUUCCCUAAAAUGCAAAAGGCGAGAAAUUGCUCUUGCUGCAUGUACUUUCCAAAUCUUGUGCCAUCACGCAAUACUCUGGUAGCAGGAAAAAUAACUUCCUCAACAAUAGCUUUCCCUGCCAUUUCAACUACCCAAUAAAAGAUUUGCCACAAAACAUGUUGCCAGCUCCGCUAUUUCCAAAACUGAAAAGCUAGCUAGUGCAACUAGAGAGAAUAAUGCAUCUCUAGCAUUAGCAGCCACCUCCCUAUUCUCUUUAAUGGAAAGAAAUAUUGCAGCUAGGCAGCGUGAGGACUCUACUAAGAUACUUCUAAAUUCAACAUUAAGCAACUUCAUGGCUGACCAAAGAGUUUUCAGAGCAUUGUUGCUUUGUGCUUCGUGCAUUACAGUCCCACUGUUGGAUUGAGUGUCAGAGAAAACCACCUCACUGUUCAGUUGUUUCUGUCCUUCAUAAUCUUCCCAUGUUUUCAUAUCUGGUACACAAUGCCCCUGAUAGAAAAUGAAGAUUGCAGCAUUAUGCAGUUCACGUUUCUGGUUGAUAAUGAGAAUUAGAAGACGACAAUGGUUGUUCCGAGCCAACUCUGUGGUUCUCAUCCUCUCCUUGAAUUCUAGCAGGAAUACCGAAACCUGUCAAAGCCAGACAAAAACCUGCUCCCAAACAUCGAACUAUGGUGAAUAGGCUGAUGAGAUUUUUGAUUAUGAUGAUUGAAAGACGAAUCCGCCAUUGGAAUAUCAUUUCAAGGACGAAGCGAUGGCGAAAUACUGGACUGAAAGGUCCCCCUAUGGGCGGAAAAGGCCGAACCUUGGCCUAGAAAUGACGCGGGCGAAUUAUUAAUCAUGAAACCUGUUCUGAAUUGUCUUGGAAUGAAUGAAGAGAAAGACCAAAGUCCUGUGUUGAGUUGUUUAUUCUUGAGAUUAUAUCAGAAGAGUAGCUUUGAAAAUCAUCGGAUCGCCAACAGAACUCGUCGGCAAAAACGCGGUUGCAUCAUUAUCAAUACUUGGUUGAAUGAAACCUGAAUGGUUGUUCCCAUGCUAUUUUCUUCCUUCUUAUAUUCUAGGAUUUGACGUGUUUGGUGGUUUGAAAAUGAACUAUUAUUGCAGGAUGAUAUUACACCGCAUUGAGUUUCUCUGAGGUCUCUAAGCACCAUGGUCGGUUCAGAAAUUAAACCGGCAUUGACGUGAGAUUGUGUAACUGUUUAUCAUUGAUCAACAUUCCGUUUAACUCAUCAAUUUGCAUUCUUUGCAGGUUCAACAUUCUCAUGUUGGGCAAAGCUAAAACCUUUAGACUGGCCAGAACCAACGGUAGCCAUUUCGUAAAACAGGAUGUGUCCAACAGUAGAAAAAGUGUCAUGCAAAGCCUUGAAAUCAAAUUUCUUGUCCAAAUUCUUCAGAAAAUACUUGCGAUUCUUAGCUUGUGGUAGGAUAUCAAAAAUGUCAUUAUCCGUCGACAAACUGCUAGCAACAUUUACAUUUUUCACUGGAGUGUCAAAUUUCAAGGAUCUUGAUAACCUGCUAGCAUCAUUGGAGUGUCAAAUUUCAAUGACCUUGAUGACCUCGAUGAAGGUGGGCGCUUAACCAACUUGUCCGGUGAUCUUGCAGAAUUGUCUUCAGGGGUCAUUAAAUGCCUUUUAGGUGGCUUCAAGGCAGGUGUGGCAGACAUCAGCCUGGAUGGAGUUGACACAUAUCCCAAUGGGGUUGACAUAGGUUCAAGGCUUUUGACAGGUUCACCUUUGCCGUCUGUACACUCAAUGGCCUUACAAGGUGUAGCUGGGAUAAUACUGGAUGGUGUGGUUGUAGAAUCUCUCAAUAAGAGAAACAACAGUACUCUCGCCAUAGCCACUGCUACCGACUAAAGCUAUGGUUUUUCACGGCAGGGACAUUCAAGGAGAAGUCAUUGAGGAUUUCAACCUCGGGCCUAGAGCUUUAUAAUCUUCUGGAAAAGAAACCAUACACCAUUUCCAUUCUUGUUCAAGAUAAAGUAGUAGCUCAUCAUAAAAACUUGGUAACCAAUUGGAGAACGAUAUUGUAGAUGAAACAGACUGAAAAUUUCCAACACUUGAUGUUCUCUCCAUUUCAUCCUUCUCAUUUGCAGACUUAUUAGCCCGUUCUCUUGAUUCAAAGUCUUCCCAAAGUUGUUUAAUUGGUUUCAGAUGUACCUUUGAAUAUUGAGAUUCCAAAGACUUAAAUCUUCAUAUUCUAAUGAGAAUUCCACGCAAAUCUUGAGCGGCAUCAACCUUGCGAUUGGAUAAUGCAUCGGUAAGACGAGGCUGCACCAUUGUGUCUAGCCUAUCCUCCAAGUUUCCGCCUUCAAUCUCUUUGAAAUCUGGUCCUGUCGGUUCUUUUCCAGUCACCAGUUCAAGCAAAAUGACACCGAAACUGUAGACAUCGCCUCUUGUUGUUGAUCUUCCACUCUGUCCAUACUUCGGUGGAAUGUAGCCGAAUGUUCCAGCAAUAUCCGUAGAGAUAUGAGUUUCACAAGCACUGAUCAAUCUUGCAAGUCCAAAGUCGGCGACUUUUGGCUCAAAAUCCUCGUUUAGUAAAAUGUUGUUGGCUUUCACAUCCCUAUGAAUGAUGUGAGGUAUGAAACCGUGAUGAAGAAAAGCCAGUCCUUUUGUCGUGCCGGUUGCAAUUAAGUCCUUAGAAUGAAGGAUAUCAAGAGAUAUAAUGCCUUGUUUGUCAGUUUUGUGAAAGGGGUGACUAGAUAUCUGGGUAUAUGUCUCUAGAGCAUCAACAGGAGCCAAAGUCGCAGGAAUCUGUCACUUUUUCCUCUGCUGUGAAAGAGCAGCAUUGUAGUCUGUUAGCUCGGUAAUUAUGCUAGAAGAUAUCCCAGGAUGUAAUUUCUUCGCAUUAUCAGGAGUUGUUGUAUCAGCAUGCAUGCUUUGAACAGCCAAUCCUUUUGAAAAUUUACAUUGCCGCCUAGAUAUGUAACUGGAGUCAUAAUUACAAUUUGGUGAUGGGGUCACAUCACCGCGAAAAACAAGUGGCCAGUCAAAACUCAUAGGAAUUGAUUGAGACAGGAUUUGGUUGCAUCCACUUUCAACUGGUAUAUUUCUUGUUUGCUGUAAUGUGGGAACAAAUGGUUGGCAGAUGUGAUUAUGCCAAUUGCGCCCAACAUCCAGAUGCAAUCUGUCUGUCGCGGGAGGGAGAUGUGAGUUAAAAGAUGGAAAAUAGAUAGAAGGUAUACCAGGCCAUUCAUAUGGACUGCAUUUUGAGAAAGCAGAACUUCUACUAUCAAAUAGACAUCUAUCUCUCUCUCUCUCUUAACUUGCCAAAUUCUUCCACAUUAACUUCUCGAAUCGGUUUGUCAUGAAUAUUUGACUUUACAUUAGCUUUGUCAGCACCUGUUGGGUUCAAAGAACAGGUAUUCUCAUUGCUGGAGAAACUACCAUCCUCCAAUGCAAGUACAGGCGGCGUUGUAGCUUCACAUUCUAUAUCGCAAGUAUUUAAUUCAGAAGACGAUAAUUUCCUUUCAUUUGGCAAUGAACACUGAGAACCUGGACUAUUGCAACUUUCAGCAAGAUUGUCAACAGUCCCUUCUUCAAUGUUCCCAGUAGAGGUGUUCUCCUUAGUAAGUCUAUUAAGAGAACAACUAAGGUUUGAAUUUGAAGCAAGAGUGUCAUUACCUAUUGAUGCGUCAUGUUUGACAUUCUAAAUGGUAGGACUAUCAAAAGACCUAUCGCAUAUUGCCACCUCACCUUCAGAAAUAAUAAUGGUGGAGGCCGCAUGCAUAAUUGGCUUGAGGGACUCUCCAACUGCACUGUCAAUAAGGGCGCUUUUAUUUUUAUUUCUCUUUUUUCCUAUUUCUUCUUGGAGUAGUUCGAGGUUUGCCAAUAUUUGAUUCCAGAGUAUUAUCUACAAUUUUUACAGUUGAUGAUGGGCUUUCUACAACUGCUGACUGGUGUAAUAAUUCUGCCGAACUCUGUAUCAUCGCAAAAUGUCUGGAUGGUCCUUGAGCAGAUGACACUGCAGAUUGACUAGUUUGAGCUCUUUCACAAUAUUCAUUUAUCUGAUUAGUGGAAGCCAUUCGAUCAACAUGACUUGCACUAUCACAUUGAAUACUUGCUACUUGUCCUCCAAGAUUAGCCAUAUUCUGAUUUUAUGCAUGGAUGAACAUGAUUGAAUGAAUGUGAGAAGGUCCUUGGUCAUGAAUGAAUGAUUGAAAUAUGAAUGAUUA